AGAAUCAACGCUGGCGGCGUGCCUAACACAUGCAAGUCGCACGAGAAAGGGGCUUCGGCUCUGAGUAAAGUGGCGCACGGGUGAGUAACACGUGACUAAUCUACCCUCGAGUGGGGAAUAACUGAGAGAAAUCUUAGCUAAUACCGCAUAACACUUACGAGUCAAAGCAGCAAUGCGCUUGGGGAGGAGGUCGCGGCCGAUUAGCUAGUUGGCGGGGUAAUGGCCCACCAAGGCGAUGAUCGGUAUCCGGCCUGAGAGGGCGCACGGACACACUGGAACUGAAACACGGUCCAGACUCCUACGGGAGGCAGCAGUGGGGAAUUUUGCGCAAUGGGGGAAACCCUGACGCAGCAACGCCGCGUGGAGGAUGAAAUAUCUUGGUAUGUAAACUCCUUUCGAUGGGGAAGAUUAUGACGGUACCCAUAGAAGAAGCCCCGGCUAACUCUGCGCCAGCAGCGC
rnacentral:rRNA from 1 species